rnacentral:lncRNA from 1 species
CGUUAUGGUGUCACUGCAUUUGUCAUAAGCAACACGUUAUCUGCAAUGCCUUCCUAAUAUCGAUUGCAUUUCUUUCUGCUACUGUCUGCUACUUCAUGAACUGGUGAGAGUCAUGCAUAACUGAGCAAGCAUGCCUCAAUCUCGAAAUAGUUGGGUCGAUUAUAUUGAUUCUCUGGAUAGAAAUUGGAAUUCCUGAGAACUUAAGGGAUGACUAAUUGAUAAAUAAAUAUGUACCAUUAUUUCCCCCACCCACCCCACAAAUUGACCUUGGGUUUCUCAUAAUUAAACAUGAAAGAACACCUUCAUAUAUCCCCACUCCUAAAGUUCCUUUUUCUUGUAACACUUUGAUCAAAGUUGUGGGCCUAUUUUAUACAGCACCAUAUUUUGUCCUUUGAUGAAAAGUACUGUUUGGUACCACAAUUAACAACUUCCCCUCUUCCUCUUCAACAAAAAUAUGUAUCCUACCACAGGUAUUUUAUUUUCUUCAUGUUUUUUGAUUAGUUCUUUUAAAUUCUUCAAUUGAUUCUUUUUGUAUUUGUUGCUUCUUUUUUCUUUUCUUUUUUUGGCUUGGAUUAUGGUUGAAAUUAAACAAGGACAAUUACUUUUUUCCAUCAAUCUUGAACUUUGAUCAUAGAGAGGGAGGGGGGGGGGGGGGGGGGGUGUUGAUCACUUGUUGCAUUGGCAAGUGGUCACAAAAUUUUAGGACUGCUGUGUGUGGACAAUUUUAAAGAGAAAAAUUGGACAAAUGGAAAGAAAUCACCUACUGUUUUAUUUCUGCUGGGAUUUCGGGCCUGUUUGGAUGGGCUUAUAAAAAGUAACUUAUAAGUCAAAAGGUAAAAGCCAUAGGGGUGCUAAAAAUAAGCUAAUCCAAAUGGGCACUUAAACCUGAAACCUCGUGGUUUUCAAUCCACUUCAUUGACCACUAGGUCACUCCCUUGGGUGCUAAGUAUGGAUUUUAUCCGAGUCAUUAUUAGAAAUCAUUGUGAGCUUUGAUACUUGCGGACUUUAUUUCACUUGAAGUUUAGUUGACGUUGAUCAUUUCUAGUUAUAAACUAUGGGUUGGGUCUUUUAGCGAUUAUUCAGAAAUUCGUCUGAAAUUCUACUAUGCUGGACACUUUUCACUGAAAUUCAAUUAAUUUCUGUUCUUUUUUCAUUGUAAUAGGUCAUUGUACAAUUAGGUGGCUAUGUUGGAAAUAUUCUGAGUUUCUGCCAAUACUGUACUCAUUUAACCUUCAGCCCACCUUCUAUAUUCCUUUGUUUCGUUUGGUUGUUUGGUGUGAUUUCUGAAGGCUUGAUUGUGAAUUUUCUCCAUCACUGGGAUUUCUAUUGCAAUUUGCGCCUUUAAGUCUUAUUUCUAAGAAGUUAUGGAUUUUAUGCACUCAAUAGUACUCUUUUUCCAUAAUAAAGAAGAAAGCGAAACUAGUGUUGACAAAAAUUCUCUCUUCUUCAGGUUUUGAUUUGACUCCAUCCAUGGUUGCUGACACCCUGCUAUCAGAGCUUUCAAAAUAUAGUGUUCCAAUAGUCAGAUGCACUAAAGCUAAUGCUGAUUCGCAGAGUCACUCUUCUUCAAUUAUAGACCACAACAAAGAUGGCGGUAAGACUUGAAUUGGCCUAAUUUGAAGUUUUUAAUUGAAUGCCAAGUUUUGAGACAUCAUAGUUACCAUUAUGGCAAAAAGAAUGACAUCUCUCUUUAUCUCAUAAAAAUACUUCGAACUUCUCAUUUAUCCUUAAUGAGAUGAUUUAAAGCCACAAAAAUUUUAAUGGCUUGGCUUGUUUUAGACCACAAGUUCAAUAAAUCUUUCUUUUUCUCUUAAAUUUUGUGCCUAGUCAAACACCUUCAUAUAAAUUGGAACGGAGGGGAUAGUAUUUAUCUAAUCAUUUAGUUCCUUCUGUCAUUAGUUAACAUUAUCGGUC